CUGUCUGUUUUCUGCUUGCUGCUAACCUUAUUCGUCCAGCAGAGGGUGUCGAGCUACAGGAGGAAUGUGGACAGGUGUUUCCCAUCUUCUGAUCGCCGUGUACGCUACUUAAGCCGUGGCUGCCUGCUACUCGUCGCCUGAGUGUUGAGCCUAUGUGGUAUCAGUAACCUUGAUGUCCAUCGAUCCCUUAACUAUUCCUCGAGCGCUUGGAGCCUUUUGGAUUACCUGUCUGGAAUUCUACGUACACUCCUGGACUGAGCAAUCUUCACCUUUUACUGGAUCUGUGCUACAUUACGACAAGCGUACUUCUCCUGCAGACCUGUCCACCCUCCUACGUAACUCCUGCUUCACCUUCCGCUCGCUUUCCACAGAAAGCACGUUUCGCUGUGAGCUCUACUUCAGUUCUCCUAAACCCCGUCUCCCCUGGCGGAUUCCGUUCACUCUCUAGUAAGAGCAUUUAUUUAUAUUCAUGAUAUUUAUAUUUAUAUAUUUAUAUAUACAUUGCCGUCCUGUUUUCUUAUCAGUUCUUUUUUCUCGCACAGUUGGAGAGACCAGAUCCCUGUCAUCCCUGUGUAGAAUUUAGAAAUAAUAAACUUCUUUUCACCGUU